GACUAAUAAAGUAGCUGUAGCUGUGGCCGUGACAGGGGCAGAACUUGGCGGAGGAGAGCUCGAACCCCCACCAGGUGCCCCACCGGGCGAGGUGGGUGUAGGAGCUCCUCCGGGACCAGAAGCUCCUCCGGGACCAGGAGCACUUGAAGGUGUAGAAGCUCCUCCGGGACCAGGAGCUGGUGAGGAUGACGGCACUGAUGCUGGAGAUGGUGCUGGCACUGAUGCUGGAGUAGGUGCUGGACCCGCUGGUGUUUUUGGUGCUGGGGCUGGUGUUGCUGCUGCUGGUGUUUUUGCUGGUGCUGGUGCCGAAGUCGGUGGUGCAGGUGUAGUUGACGGUGUUGAUGCUGGCGGAGGUGUGGAUGAGGGUGGAGGUGUGGAUGCUGAUGGAGGUGUUGAUGGUGGCGAUGAUGCUGGUGGAGGGGUGGCUUUAGGAGCUGGAGCUGGAGCUGCACCACCUCCUGAAACGGAGACGGUCAAUUUUUGUCCCAAGGAACAGUGCUGGGCGAAGGUGCAAAUGAAAUAUGCCUGCCCUGGGGAGGUUAGAUUGAUUCUUGCCGGACCAACAGUUUGUAGUGAGAUGGGAUUGCUUGAGGUGCAUCCGUCAUAACUUGCCUUUGGAACUACGGCCACAUCGUGAGCCCCAGUUGCGAAGUUAAAAACUGCAACAAUUUACAAAGUUUCACUACUCAUUUAUCAAGACACUCGAAAUCCUAACCUGUAUCAUCAAACUGAACACAAAAAAAAAAAUCUGAUGCCAAUUAUGCAAGAAUUUUAUAUUACUAGUUUCAUAGCAGCAUCGAUCCAUUCUAAGUCCAACAAAAACGAAAUCAAGAAAAGCUGCUAAACAAAUCUAUUCAGGGUUCAGCGUGCCCUGUGACAAAGAUGUAGGGGCAGGGUACAUAAAUAUCUCGUACGUACCUAAGAUAUCACCAACUUUGAAGGUAUGUUGAGAAGCCCAGUUGGGAUAGACCGAAGAACUGGAGGGGAUUGCCCAGCCCAAGCUGUCCCCGACCACAUGAGUUGCCGCAUCGGUGUUUCCUAGAAUAGCAGCGGCUAGAAUUACCAAAAGUGGAACUGCUGCAAAGGUGGUACUUGCAGCCAUAUUUUCCUCUAGCUAGAGGGGCUACUUAUGUGUUCUCAAGUCGACCCCUGCCUGAAGCUUUCUAAGCUUUUGCUAAUCGUGGGAUCCUGCUCAAGCGUUCAACAAGAACCCUUCCGUUUCAACCGGGGAAAUCAAAUACUAUAAUAGAUUAUAGAGAGAGAGAGAGAGAGAGAGAGAGAGAGGAAACACAAAAAGAAAAGGACGUGUGACGAGUAGGCUGAAUUUUCCUUGGAAGUGUGUGGGAGGAGGAAGAGGAUAUAGGGGGUCUCGAAAGGAUAGAUUCCACGUGGAGUGGUAAUAGUGCGUCAGUGGUAGCUAGGGAUUGGCUAUUGAAUUGUUGAGCUGUUGCUGAACGAUUACCCGCAUCAGCAAUUCAGCAAACGGUAGAAACACGGAGAUUUUUGCUCCAACUAGUGGUCUUCCAACUCAACUGUUCAUCGCUCGGUGCGUUUGACUGGGGUUGGAAAAUGCUUUGCCCACAAACAUUGCAAAAGAGGCCUUUGAUUUUUCAAGUGCCUAAUGAAUGUCGGGCGGUGUUAGUGUCAUAAUCUAUAAAUUUUGCUAAUUCUUGAAUAAAAUACGAAGCUUGUCUUUUUUCAAGUCAAAAUGAAACGUAGAUUGCAAAAAGAAGUCAAAAUUCCGACCGUGAUAAUAUCAUCAUCAUUUGCUAAUGCACAUGCGUGUCCGAUCUUCACAGGCGUGGAGUUGCUCUUACCAAAAAUAUCAACCACGGAUAUGGUCGUGCAAAUUCAAGCAGAAAUCCUGGGUGGAGAACGGAAUAGACAGCAAAGCAUGCCACCUGAUGGGCAUGGCUGUAGCCUGUAAUGAAGGGGUACGAGAGUACUGUAUUUUCACCGGGAAGCGUGACUUUUCUAGUAUUUGGAGUUAGUCUGCCGUCGGUCGGCAUGCCUUUAUGAAAGUGGUGAUCAAGGCCCACCACGCGUUUUUACCGGUUCAAACUUUAGAAGUCAGCACAGACCGACCGCUUUCUACAGUUUUUUUUUUUUUUUUUUUGGUGAAAGAGGACGAUUAAUAAUUAUUAUAUAACUUAUCUAUUUUAAAUUAGAGGGAGACUUUGUAUUAGGAGCUAAUAGAUACAUAAAUUUUACUAGAUUAAGAGAGUAUUUUAUCUUAAUUUUUAGAAUUUAAUUUACUAUGAAUGGGAUCUAAACCCCCACUAACAGUCCAAACAGGAUUUUAAAACCCAAGCUCAGUGGUUACCGCUUUCUACAGUUGAAAUGUCGAACAAAUUAGCUUAUGGUUCUGAACACUGAACUACGAGAAGAUAAGAGUGUGUUAUCCCUUUGAAAUGUCAACGAAAUCUAACGGCUUAAGGGUCACCAUUUGUCCCGAAGAUGGUUGGCUGAGGAACCCUCUUCACUUCUUUUUUGUUUGGCAUGGAGUCGUUUCGUACGAUACAAUAUGAGCCUAGUGAAAAAAUCUAAAUACAUCAAUAUAUAAUAAAUAUUAAUUUUUUUUCGCAACAGCGACAAUCUACUGCACUACUGAUUUUUUUUUUUAUUGUUUUAUAUGGAAUCUUUUUGUUUCGUAUGGAGUCGUUUCAUAUAAUAUGAGUCUAGUAAGAAAAACUAAAUAAAUCAAUACGUGACAAAUAUAAUUUUUGCUUUUUUGCAAUGGCAACAAUCUAGUGCACUGCUAUACUUCCUUAUCAUUUCAUGCAAUAUGAGCUUAGUAAGAAAUAUCUUGUUCCAAUACAUUUGUCUUUACAGAAAGUAAGCAUGUUUUUGCAAAUAAACCUAAUCCCCACAGUAACUUCAAAAGCCGGCAACUUUUAAAGUCCUGCGAGGGACUUAUCUACCCAAACAUCCCAACCCCCCAACCGAUGUGGGAUAGAAAACCCCACAGGGUGCCCUGCUGCUAAGAGAUAUCUAAAUACAUCAACACAUAACAAAUAUAACUUUUUUUUUUUGAACUACAACAAUUAAGUGCAUUGCUAUACUUCCUUGUGAUGCAUUAAACAGACUAUUAUACUUUUUUAUGAUGCACUAGACAUAAUUUAAAUCUCACACCUAGUGUGCGGGAGAGAUUUAAAGUGGCUCUCCUCGACCAUUGGACCAAUGCCCAAUGGUUACGUAACAACCAUUAACGUGAAGUAUUCAACUGAACGAAGAAAACCUUCUAGUCCAAUUUCUUGAUAUACAUAUCAUUGUAGGCCAAUUGACAAGGACUUGGGUAGUGUUUUCUCUGGCAAUGACCAAAAGCCAUAAAAGAUGUACAGUCCACAUCCAUGAAGGAACCAAGAAAUACAAAUCGGACAUGCCAUCAAGUUGAAGGCACUGAGGCCAUGCCUUUAUGCGCGGCGGGCCGGGGAGCCAAGCUUGGUGGGGGUGAAAAGAUGUUUGUUCUCCCCCCCCGGCGGCGGGGGCGGGUUUUUUGAUUCAUUGGCGUAGUCAAAUUAAUGGCAUUUUCCAUCCUAUAGAAAAAGAUCUUCUUUUUAUUUCUUUAUUUGAAAAAAUAAAAGUAAAAAGUGAUGACAUCUGAAGCUUUAGCCUUUAAGCAUCUUUAAAAAAAAAAAAGGUUUAUUUUAUAGUUGUUUAAAGCGAAAAUUGAGAACUGCAAAAACAAAUUCUAUAGGAGAAAAAGUGCUCCUACAAUGGAAAAUUAGUGAGGGCAAUUCUGCUUGCAUCCUUUAAAGUUUGUACAACUACAAAAGUCUACUUUGUGUUACCAAUUACUACGUUGAAAUCCCCUAUUAUUUGUUUGACAUUAUGGUUAAAAAAGUAAUGGAUAUAUUUUCGCUGGAAUUACGUUGUGUCAAGAUAAUCUUGAAGCGCAACAGAUCUUCUGUCUCACAUCCUGUGUCACUCUCUGUCCCACUUUUUAUUAUAUUGUUAUCUCUCCUUCAUAAACAGCAUGUUUUAAUUCUUUUUUAUUUUCUUAAAAUCCAAUAACUAUUAAUUCAGUAAUACACAAAAUUUAACAAAUUCAAAAAAUAAAAUGCAUAAAAAAUGAGAUUUUUUAUGAAUUUUCUGCUGUAUUUUUAAUUUUCUAUUAUAUAUUACUUUUUUUAAGCUGUUGUAUUUAUUUUUUACUGAAUUAAUAAUUAUUGGAUCUUAAGGAAACAAAAAAAGAAUUAAAACAUACUGUUUAUGAAGGAGAAAUAGUAAUAUAAUAAAAAAUGAGACAGAGAGUGACACAGAAUGUAGGACAGAAGAUCCGUUGCUAUCUUGAAGUAAUGGAACAUCUUAAGAUAAGAUAUAUC
rnacentral:lncRNA from 1 species